GCCAGCAUGGCUCAGUGGUUGAGCAUGGACCUAUGAACCAGGAGGUCUUGGGUUCGAUUCCCAGUCAGGGCA
rnacentral:tRNA from 1 species